GUUUCAGCCGCCGCGGUAAGACAGAGGGUGCAAACGUUGCUCGGAAUCACUGGGCGUAAAGGGCGCGUAGGCGGGGAUGUAAGUCGGGCGUGAAAUCCCUAGGCUCAACCUAGGAACUGCACUCGAAACUGCGUUUCUUGAGUAUCGGAGAGGAAAGCGGAAUUCCUGGUGUAGAGGUGAAAUUCGUAGAUAUCAGGAGGAACACCAGUGGCGAAGGCGGCUUUCUGGACGGUAACUGACGCUGAGGCGCGAAAGCGUGGGGAGCAAACAGGAUUAGAUACCCCUGUAGUCC
rnacentral:rRNA from 1 species